GCCAGGCGUGGUGGCACAUGCCUGUAGUCUCAGCUACUUGGGAGGCUGAGGUGGGAGGAUCGCUUGAGCCCAGGAGUUCUGGGCUGUAGUGCGCUGUGCUGAUCGGGUGUCCGCACUAAGUUCGGCAUCAAUAUGGUGACCUCCCGGGAGCGGGGGACCACCAGGUUGUCUAAGGAGGGGUGAACCGGCCCAGGUCAGAAACG
rnacentral:sRNA from 13 species